GAACCUAAAAGAACUGAAAUUUAUUGUGACUGCACAUCUGUGAAUUAUCAGUGAAGAUUACUUUGUUAACUUAGUUUGCAUAAUUCAGAAGUUUUUGGUUUGCACGCGACCUUGAGGCCUUAGAGAAAAUCACUACGCUAGAUCUGGCUAUAAGCUACAAGUUUGUCCAAAGAGUUGGUCAGAAAUACUCUUGCAAGGAUAGAGGUUCCUUCACCUUGUAGUCCAGAAAUAGGAACUCUGCACCCAUCAACACUUGAGCUGGCUGUGUCCCAGAGCGAGGAAGAGAACAGCGCACCAAAAGCACACGAAGCAGCCCAGCUAGUGGAUAACUGCUUGUAUACUGCUCUGCAUUUAAACAAUGAUGGCAUGGCUCCAAUUCUGUGUCCUCUUCCUGGUGGCUCCAAUUGGGUACAGUCAGAAUCCAGGUCCUCGUGGUCCCAAAGGAGACAGAGGACUUCCUGGACCAGUUGGUCCACCUGGAGUACCAGGACCACCAGGUGAAAAAGGAGAUACUGGACCUGAUGGUCUACAUGGUUCAGUUGGAAUACUUGGACGACAUGGAAUGACUGGAUCACGUGGACUUCCUGGACCAU